AGAACGAACGCUGGCGGCGUGCCUAACACAUGCAAGUCGAACGAGAAACCUUCGCUUCGGCGAAGAGAGUAAAGUGGCGAACGGGUGAGUAACGCGUGGGUAACCUGCCCCUGAAUUUGGAAUAACCCGCCGAAAGGCGGACUAAUUCCGGAUACAGUCCCCUGAACCUUGGUUUUGGGGAUCAAAGGUGACCUCUUCAUGAAAGUUGCCGUUUGGGGAGGGGCUCGCGUACCAUUAGCUUGUUGGUGGGGUAAUGGCCUACCAAGGCUACGAUGGUUAGCUGGUCUGAGAGGAUGAUCAGCCACACUGGAACUGAAACACGGUCCAGACUCCUACGGGAGGCAGCAGUGAGGAAUCUUGCGCAAUGGGGGAAACCUUGACGCAGCAACGCCGCGUGAGCGAAGAAGGCCUUCGGGUCGUAAAGCUCUGUCAAGCGGGAAAAAACGCUUCAGGUCAAUAGCCUGAUGAAUUGAUGGUACCGCUAAAGGAAGCACCGGCUAACUCCGUGCCAGCAGCCGCGGUAAUACGGAGGGUGCAAGCGUUGUUCGGAAUUACUGGGCGUAAAGGGCGUGCAGGCGGUUUGGCAAGUCAGAUGUGAAAGCCCUGGGCUUAACCCAGGAAGUGCGUCUGAAACUGCCAUACUUGAGUAUGGGAGAGGAGAGUGGAAUUCCCAGUGUAGAGGUGAAAUUCGUAGAUAUUGGGAGGAACACCCGUGGCGAAGGCGGCUCUCUGGACCAAUACUGACGCUGAGACGCGAAAGCGUGGGGAGCAAACAGGAUUAGAUACCCUGGUAGUCCACGCCGUAAACGAUGAGAACUAGGUGUAGCGGGUAUUGACCCCUGCUGUGCCGAAGUUAACGCAUUAAGUUCUCCGCCUGGGGAGUACGGCCGCAAGGCUAAAACUCAAAAGGAAUUGACGGNNGGGCCCGCAACCAAGCGGUGGAGCCCAAUGUGGGUUUAAUUNNCGAACGCAACGCGAAGAACCUUACCUGGGUUUGACAUCCUUUGACCGCCUUGGAAACAAGGUUUUCCCGACUCUGUCGGGACAAAGUGACAGGUGCUGCAUGGCUGUCGUCAGCUCGUGUCGUGAGAUGUUGGGUUAAGUCCCGCAACGAGCGCAACCCUUGUCUUUAGUUGCCAGUAUUCAGUUAGGAACUCUAAAGAGACUGCCUCGGUUAACGGGGAGGAAGGUGGGGAUGACGUCAAGUCCUCAUGGCCUUUAUACCCAGGGCUACACACGUGCUACAAUGGACUGUACAAAGGGUCGCUACUCCGUGAGGAGGCGCUAAUCCCAAAAAGCAGUUCUCAGUUCGGAUUGAAGUCUGCAACUCGACUUCAUGAAGGUGGAAUCGCUAGUAAUCGUGGAUCAGCAUGCCACGGUGAAUACGUUC
rnacentral:rRNA from 1 species